rnacentral:rRNA from 1 species
CAGCAGCCACGGUAAUACGAGGGGGGCAAGCGUUGUUCGGAAUUAUUGGGCGUAAAGGGUGCGUAGGCGGUUUGAUAAGUCAUCUGUGAAAUCUCUGGGCUCAACCCAGAGUCUGCAGGCGAAACUGUCGGGCUUGAGUAUGGGAGAGGUGAGUGGAAUUUCCGGUGUAGCGGUGAAAUGCGUAGAUAUCGGAAGGAACACCUGUGGCGAAAGCGGCUCACUGGACCAUAACUGACGCUGAUGCACGAAAGCUAGGGGAGCAAACAGGAUUAGAUACCCCCGUAGUCCCUGUCUCUUAUAC